rnacentral:rRNA from 1 species
UACGUAGGGGGGCAAGCGUUUGUCCGGAAUCACUGGGCGUAAAGCGCGCGCAGGCGGCUAUCUACGUCCGGGGGUGAAAGCCCAGAGCUCAACUCUGGGGACUGCCUUGGAUACGGGAUGGCUUGAGGAUCGGAGAGGUAAGCGGAAUUCCUGGUGUAGCGGUGAAAUGCGUAGAUAUCAGGAGGAACACCUGCGGUGUAGACGGCUUACUGGACCGUAACUGACGCUGAGGCACGAAAGCGUGGGUAGCAAACAGG